rnacentral:rRNA from 1 species
GUUGAGCGAAGCUUUUUGGUAGUUUACUACUAGAAAUGACUGAGCGGCGAACGGGUGAGUAACGCGUGAGCAAUCUACCUUAGUUACUGGGAUAGCCCGAGGAAACUCGGAUUAAUACCGGAUAUUCUUAUUUUUUCACAUGAAGUUUUAAGGAAAGGUCAGCCGAACUAAGAUGAGCUCGCGUUCUAUCAGCUAGUUGGUGGGGUAAGAGCCUACCAAGGCUACGACGGAUAGCUGGUCUGAGAGGACGAUCAGCCACACUGGGACUGAGACACGGCCCAGACUCCUACGGGAGGCUGCAGCAGGGAAUAUUGUGCAAUGAGCGAAAGCUUGACACAGCGACACCGCGUGUGGGAUGACGGUUCUAGGAUUGUAAACCACUUUCAGGAGGGAAGAAAAUGACGGUACCUCCACAAGAAGACCCGGCCAACUAUGUGCCAGCAGCCGCGGUAAUACAUAGGGGUCAAGCGUUGUCCGGAUUUAUUGGGCGUAAAGAGCUCGUAGGCGGUUCAACAAGUCGGUCGUAAAAGUUUAGGGCUCAACCCUAAAAUGUCGAUCGAUACUGUUGUGACUAGGAUACGGUAGAGGUGAAUGGAAUUCCGAGUGUAGCGGUGAAAUGCGUAGAUAUUCGGAGGAACACCAAUUGCGAAGGCAGUUCACUGGACCGUGAUCGACGCUGAGAGCGAAAGCUAGGGGAGCAAACAGGAUUAGAUACCCUGGUAGUCCUAGCUGUAAACGAUGGAUACUAGAUGUAGAACUGGAUUGACGGUUUCUGUAUCGUAGCUAACGCGUUAAGUAUCCCGCCUGGGGAGUA